rnacentral:lncRNA from 1 species
GUAGGUUCCCACUCGCCGGCAGCACAUUCCUUCCCUCGUCAGUAUCAUCACUAUGAAACGCGACGAAUUUGCUUCGGUCUUUUCAGGCGAGCGAGUUUCUGAUGCCUGCUAUGUCGAGACGAAGAUAAUAGUAGCGGUAGCAAGAAAGAGCUUCUAGCUAAGAAAUACGCGCAUCACGGAGAAAGGCCAUAGCAACAGAGAAAACAGAAUGAGUCAGGCCGACCGCAUAAGAUUUUUAGUCGGCAUAAGUCGCAGGUGUAUUCAUAUCGUACGAUGAUUAUAAACGCCCGCGCAAUGCCGGAACUCUGUCAAAGAAGAUUAGCUCCUUUUCAACGAGGGCCACAGCAGGAAUCGGUAAUCUUCUACAUUCUGAUUUGACGGGUCAUGGGACGAGCUUAGAAAAAUACCGUAUUUGUCUUUGUGUGGUCUUCACAACCAUCCGUGCUAAUAACCGGUAUACACACAUGUACAU